rnacentral:lncRNA from 1 species
UCUGACCGGUCUAAAACCUCGGUGCAUCUUGGGAGUUGUGGUUCCGAAACUCAACAUAAACAAGGUGGCGCGUCCAGUAUUGAGGCAGUAGUGCUCCGCGCGCGCUCACAAAAUUUAAGGGUUUUUUUUUUUCCUCCCACCGAAAAGGGAAGCAGCCUAAAGCUGUGCAGGAAGGGGCCGCCCUGUCACCCAGACGCUUUUCCCAGUCUCUAUGGAUACGGGCCACACGUCUUGGCGGAAGACAGAACUUAAGGGUUUGGGCUGGAGCGCGUUUCCACCAACAGCCAAUAUAUAAUGCUAGGCGUCAUUUUGUGAAUUCGAGAGCUUUAGUAAACUUGCCGAAACAGUAGCUCUUGAUAUUUAUUACAUUAUUAACGUUUUAUGAUGUAUGCCUUACUACUUUUUUAAAAAGUAAAUCCACUCGCUAUUGGCAUAUAAUUCAGAAUGAUUUUAAAUGAUAAUAAGAUAAUGGAAGAUCAGAAACUACUGAAGCAUUAAAUAUGUCUCCAUUUACCCAGAAUGAGUGAUUUUCUUCAACAAUUGUGAUUUUGCACCAAGCUGAGCACAUUCAGUGAGUUUAGAGAAAUGAUCACUACCACUUGAUGUGACUUCUUCAGUUUCUGGUGUUCUAUUAGUGUGUGUACUAGAUGUAGUUUCACCUUCUGUUUCUGCUAAUGGUUCGCCUGAAACUGGAGCAUCUGAAGAUUCAUUGUGUGAGUCCUGGAUUUCUUUACUGUCCUCCUGCAGAUCUGAUGAACUUCUCCACCUUCUUUCUGAAUGGGUAUUGCUCUUGGAAAGCCUCACUUCUCACGUUUUGAAAUUGUAAGUUUGCCAGAGCAAGGUGUGGAAAAUGCCUUUGCAAAUGACUCGGGAUCUGCUCAUCACAGAGAACACUGUCUUCAAUUCUUCUGGCACGAGAUCUUCGUGGGAGGGAGCCAAGCCCUACACCUAAUACCAAUCAGAGGUGCUGUCUUCUAUUCUUCUGGAACUUCACGAGACCCAGCGAAGCCCUGAACCUGAUACUAAGCUUUGGGCAUGAGCUCAAGCCGCUGCCCUCCAACAGAUACAACCAAGUGAGAGAGUGAGAAACUGGGGAUAUAGCUCAGUGGAGAGAGUAAGAGGGAGACCUGGGAUGUAGCCGGCGCCUGCCUGGUAAGCACAAGGUUCUGAAUUCAAUCCUCUCUCCCUCUUCCAAGGUCCCGAGUUUGGUCCACAGACAGAGAGAUGACGGAUGGAGAGUUCUCCCCUUACUAAUGAUGAUGUAGCUUUUUCACGUGCUUAUUGGCUAUUCUUUUUGUGUGAUGUGUCUGUUCAAAUCUUUUGCUAAUUUUUAAAAUUGGGUUCUUUAUUUCUGGAGUUGUUUUGUUUUUCUUUUUCUGAGAGAAGGUCUCACUCUGUAGCUCAGGCUGUCCUUGAGCUCUCUGUCUCACUGUGUGAGCCAGGCUGGCCUCAAACUUGCAGUGAUCCUCCUGCCUCACCUCCCAAGUGCUGAGGUCACAGGCGUGCGCCACCACACCUGGCCUCCUUUCUCUUUUUUUUUUUUUUUUGGUACUGGGGAUCGAACUCCGGUCCUUGCGCUUGCGGGGCAGGCGGCAGAACCACCGAGCUAAAUCCCCGGCCCCUCCCUUCUUAUUAUUGAGCUGUAAGUUUCCUUAUAUUCUUGGAUACAAACCUUCACCAAAAUAAAAAGGAAGCAAAACUAUUUUUAAGAACACCAGGACUGGGGCCAGGGAUUUAGCUCAGUGGUUUCCCCGCCUGCCGCAUAAGCACAAGGACCCCAGUUCGAUUCCCGGUACCAAAAAAAAAACCAAACAAAAACAACAACAACAAAAAAGAACGCCAGGAUUGUAUAUUUCAAAGUUAUGAAGAGUUGUUUUUAAUCUCUCAUUUGUUGUGAAGAUGGUAAUAGAAAUACAAAAGUACUUCUCUCUCUCUCUCUCUCUCUCUCCAUCUCCAGCCCAAGGCUGGGGUUCAACUUGCCAUCCUUCUGCAUCAGCUUCUCAAAGUGCUAGGAUUACAGGUAUGUGCCACCAUGCCUGGCUUUAAAAAUGUAGAGUAAUAAAAAUGUUGUGUUAAGAAGCAACCAAUCCUGGGAAAAAAAAAAAGAAAUAAAGGUGAAAAUCAAUAAAGAAGUCAUUUCACCAGUAACUUGGAAGCCCCUGUUAAUUAAAAAUCUGUCAGCUUAUUAUUAAGGAAAAUUCAAGACGGCAUCUGUUCCCUACAGCACAUGUUUAAGCAAUUACCCACUCACAGACAACUGUGAGCCAAAAAAAG